AAUAGUUUUAUGCUACAUCAGUACUCUUAUCCUGAAUUUCAAGAUUUUAUCCUGAAAAAAAAAUCAAAUCCAAAUUAAAAUACUAAAAUUCAGGAGAAAAUCUUGAAAUUCAGGAUAAGAAUACUGAUGUGGCAUAAAACUAUU
rnacentral:pre_miRNA from 1 species